rnacentral:lncRNA from 1 species
AAGAAAAGAGCUUUGGAGUUGAAGAUGCCUUAUGCCUGUGAGAGACCUAUAUCUAUGGAUGUGGUUGAUCCAUUAACUCUCCCUAACCAAGAUGUAGAGGAGUUGGAAGAUGCACUCUCCAAGAUGAAGCAAGAGAAGGAUAUGUGGGAAGAGUGGUUCCAUGCUUUCAGCCGAAAGCAUGAGGAGUUACAGCUUGAGUCUAAAGACAAAGAUGCAUUUAUUGAAUAUCUU